GUGCUCAGAAGCACAUCUACUCAAAUAGGAACAACAGAGAGAAGAUGAACAUGGCCUCUGUGAAAAGGUGAUUUGCAGAUUCAUGAAGUGGUUCAUAUUUUU